AAUUUACCUCAGGAAACGGGGCCUCGUUUGGCGCCCAGGCGUUUCCUUUCCCUCCGAGAGAGAGAGAGAGAGAGAGAGAAGGGCGCCUGGCCUGGCAGCCGUGGUUCAGGCCGGGCUGGGAAGGAGGGAAGAGCCGUGGCUGGAAGGAAGGAAGGCCCCGAGGAGACAGGCCGGGAAGGGCGGGCGGGCUCUCUCUCUCUCUCUCUCCUCCCACUACCCAGAGCCGGAGAGAGAGGUGAAUCAGGGCCCGUGCUGUGGCCUCGCCUGGGUCAGCCUACUUUCUUGGGGAUGAAUCUGGAAAGAGUUUAAAGAGGAGAGAGACGCCUUUCCUUUGGGGAGUCACUUUUACCUCAGGAAAGGCUUUUCUUCCCGUCCAGAGGACCCUCUCUCUCCCACUCGAUUUUAGAAUUUUCUUUAUCGAACCUUUACCUCAGAAAAGCCUUGUGAAAUAGAAAGAAGAAAAUGCCAAUUUUAUUUAUUAAGAGAUUGUCAUCUCAGACUUUACCUCAGAAAUGGCCAAGCCUUGUGAAACGGAAGGGAGAAACAAAGGCAAAACUUUUGAAAAUUAGCACAGCUUUUUCUGCAGGGACCAGCCUUAAGACCCAUAACAUGCUAUGCUGAAAAUUAUAUAUAUAUAUAUAUACACAAAAGGUCGAAGAGACAGAAGACAGAAGAUGCUUGAAGACACUCUUGCAAGGACACCGCCCGCCCCCCCAAAAAGGUCAUUGUCAGGGUAAUGGGUGUCAGGCUAGGCAUUUAAUGUCUAUCUUUGCAAUAAAAAACAGGCUACCUGUGUGCUAGGCUUUUGCAUGAAGAACACGGUUCCCCUCGUGUGUGGCAUCGAAGUUUCCCACUCGGGAACGGACGGGUCCUCCCUUUGUUCUAGGCAGAUGAUGGGGGUUUUCCUAUACAAGCCGUAGGGGCCACAGCUUGGGGGGCAGCGGGGGGCCCGGCCCUGGCACCGCGGGGAGCAGCACACGUUACGGGCAUUUUAAAAGCUCCCUUAAACUUAGACAGUGGCUAGUAAUAAAAAUAUUAAUACCUUAACUCACCUACUAACCCUACUAACACCAUUCUAACUAGGGCAGCCUGGCCUUUUAAAUAGGACUGUGUUUUGCCUGCUGGCAAGAACCAAGCUGGGAGGGAAGGGGGCCUCCUGGCCCCCCGUAGAAGGGCUCCCCUAGAAGGACAUUCAAAAUGCCCGCAAGGUGUCCUGAGAGCAGCCCCUGGGGCCCUCAGUGUGCCCCCCACGGUGCCAGGGCUGGGCCCCCCGCUCUCCCCCAACCCAUGACCCCUGCCGCCUGUAUAGCGUCCGCCCAGGGCCAACGGACGCCCCCUCCCUCCCCGGGCGGAGCUUCGGCGCCACACACAAGGGGAGGCCAGCCGUGGCCGCCAGAACAUGGCCAACCUGGUUUUUGACUGCAAACAUAGGCAUGUAGGGACCCCCUUUUAUUUAUGUAAGGCCACCCACCCAGGGGACCUCUGUUCCUAAUUAAAGC